rnacentral:lncRNA from 1 species
AACAGCCUGACUCCUGCCUGCCCUAUGGAAGUUCCUUUUAUGCAUUGGAGGAAAAACAUGUUGGCUUUUCUCUUGACGUGGGAGAAAUUGAAAAGAAGGGGAAGGGGAAGAAAAGAAGGGGAAGAAGAUCAACGAAGAAAAGAAGGAGAAGGGGAAGAAAAGAAGGGGAAGAAGAUCAAAACCCACCAUGCCCCAGGCUCAGCGGCAUGCUGAUGGAAGUGGAAGAGCCUGAAGUCUUGCAGGACUCACUGGAUAGAUGUUAUUCGACUCCGUCAAUGUACUUUGAACUACCUGACUCAUUCCAGCACUACAGAAGUGUGUUUUACUCAUUUGAGGAACAGCACAUCAGCUUCGCCCUUGACGUGGACAAUAGGUUUCUUACUUUGAUGGGAACAAGUCUCCACCUGGUCUUCCAGAUGGGAGUCAUAUUCCCACAGUAAGCAGCCCUUACUAAGCCGAGAGAUGUCAUUCCUGCAGGCAGGACCUAUAGGCACGUGAAGAUUUGAAUGAAACUAUAGUUCCAUUUGGAAGCCCAGACAUAGGAUGGGUCAGUGGGCAUGGCUCUAUUCCUAUUCUCAGACCAUGCCAGUGGCACCCUGUGCUCAGUCUGAAGACAAUGGACCCAAGUUAGGUGUGACACGUUCACAUAACUGUGCAGCACAUGCCGGGAGUGAUCAGUCAGACAUUUUAAUUUGAACCACUUAUCUCUGGGUAGCUACAAAGUUCCUCAGGGAUUUCAUUUUGCAGUCAUGUCUCUGAGCUUCUAUACCUGCUCAAGGUCAGUGUCAUCUUUGUGUUUAGCUCAUCCAAAGGUGUUACCCUGGUUUCAAUGAACCUAACCUCAUUCUUUGUAUCUUCAGUGUUGAAUUGUUUUAGCUGAUCCAUCUUUAACACAGGAGGGAUCCUUGGCUGAGGAUUGUAUUUCAGAACCACCAACUGCUCUUGACAAUUGUUAACCCGCUAGGCUCCUUUGGUUAGAGAAGCCACAGUCCUUCAGCCUCCAAUUGGUGUCAGUACUUAGGAAGACCACAGCUAGAUGGACAAACAGCAUUGGGAGGCCUUAGCCCUGCUCCUCUCGAUUCCAUCCUGUAGAGAACAGGAGUCAGGAGCCGCUGGCAGGAGACAGCAUGUCACCCAGGACUCUGCCGGUGCAGAAUAUGAACAACGCCAUGUUCUUGCAGAAAACGCUUAGCCUGAGUUUCAUAGGAGGUAAUUACCAGACAACUGCAGAAUGUAGAACACUGAGCAGGACAACUGACCUGUCUCCUUCACAUAGUCCAUAUCACCACAAAUCACACAACAAAAAGGAGAAGAGAUAUUUUGGGUUCAAAAAAAGUAAAAAGAUAAUAUAGCUGCAUUUCUUUAGUUAUUUUGAACCCCAAAUAUUUCCUCAUCUUUUUGUUGUUGUCAUUGAUGGUGGUGACAUGGACUUGUUUAUAGAGGACAGGUCAGCUCUCUGGCUCAAUGAUCUACAUUCUGAAGUUGUCUGAAAAUGUCUUCAUGAUUAAAUUCAGCCUAAACGUUUUGCCGGGAACACUGCAGAGACAAUGCUGUGAGUUUCCAACCUUAGCCCAUCUGCGGGCAGAGAAGGUCUAGUUUGUCCAUCAGCAUUAUCAUGAUAUCAGGACUGGUUACUUGGUUAAGGAGGGGUCUAGGAGAUCUGUCCCUUUUAGAGACACCUUACUUAUAAUGAAGUAUUUGGGAGGGUGGUUUUCAAAAUUAGAAAUGUCCUGUAUUCCAAUGAUCAUCCUGUAAACAUUUUAUCAUUUAUUAAUCAUCCCUGCCUGUGUCUAUUAUUAUAUUCAUAUCUCUACGCUGGAAACUUUCUGCCUCAAUGUUUACUGUGCCUUUGUUUUUGCUAGUGUGUGUUGUUGAAAAAAAAAACAUUCUCUGCCUGAGUUUUAAUUUUUGUCCAAAGUUAUUUUAAUCUAUACAAUUAAAAGCUUUUGCCUAUC